rnacentral:lncRNA from 1 species
GUUCUAGUGCUCACAUACCACAACAGAAUGUCAUCAUGUGCUCCUCUUGCCCUUAUUUCUCAACGUGAACAACAGAUCUCACAAAAGGACGCUGCACAAUUUCUUACUGUGUUUCAUAGGAAACGAAGUAAAACCAAAAGCCAAGAUUACAGCAAUUGCAGAAAAAUUGUGAUUUUUAGGAUCAAUAUUUAUCCAUGUGUAACAGAACGCAAACAUCCGGUCAGCUCCAUCGAGCUGCAGUUUCACUACACUGUAGUCACAGAACAAACAGAUGUUCCGUUUAUACAAGGAAGAUGGAAGGGUACAGAGGACAAGCGUGGUUAUUGCCAUAAUUAA